AAAAACAUUUCUUGAUCAUGCAGUCAUCUGAGCAGUCAUAUAUAGACUUGGUAACAAGUUAUAUUCUACAAAAUCGAACCUCAUGGACAAAUAGAAGUUUCACUGUCUUUGUUGCCAAAAUGCACUCUGUUUUUAGUUAACACAUUUCUUUCUUUCUUGUGGAAUAAGGGCUGGAUAUUAAUUCCUGGUGUGUUAUCAUAAAUUCUAGAUUGGUUAGGUGCUGUGAGAAUUCCUCAAUUUGUAUGUGUUCUGCAAAUAGAUGGGUGAGCACUAAUCAAUGAGAAAUCAAUCAACUAUAGCCUUUGUCUGAUAUUACGGUUUUGUACCUAAUUAACAUCUGCCAAUUUUUUGGUUUAGGUUUCCGUUUUAGCACUUCUUACUCUUGAGGUUACUUGGAAAGGAAAAGAUUUUCUACUUUAUUUAACUACAAACAAUUUCAGGAAGCAAAGUGCUCUGAAGUCUGAACAGCUGAAGCUCCUGCUCCGGCAAAUUAGUGGGGUUUCUAUCGGCAAAGAAGCUAAGGAUUGUGAUGGCAUGUCGACAGGCUCUGGGAUGGUCUGAAGGGGAGGUUAUGCGGCCAGAGUCAAAGCCAUGCUCCCGACUGAUGCGUCACACUGCUGGCAUCUUCUCUGUUGGUGGCGCCCUUGCUUUCUGGGUGCUUUGCCGUCUUCACUAUGGUGAUUCUUCCUGACCAUCCAGCUUUUCCAGUUUCUAAUGAAUUAAUCUUCAAUCCUGAUUUGAUUAUUCAUUGUCAUUUCAAUAUCUUAAGGUUUCAAGUGUUAGUGCUUCCAAGUAACUCAGAACUGAAACCAUUUUGUUGACCCUGUUUUUGGCUAUAUGUAGGUCCAAGGAUAACGGUUCCAAGGAGUCUCAGGUGGGCAUCAUGCGGAGUAAUCUCUACAAGCUCGACAUCAGCCUUGCUCGUGCGGCUCUUCAGUCCGGAAUGUGAACCGCAGAACAUAGCAGCCUACGACAGACCUGAAUACAAGCCUGCAUAGUAUCAUGAAAACUCAGGAUCCAUGUCUACCGGUUCCAUGCUAGUUGCUCAUUCAGCCCGGGAGAUGCGUUCUCUGCCCUUCCUAUGAUACCCACCUUAUGCAUAAUUUAGCCUGCCCUGAACUUGUAGAUCUCUGUAUUUCGUUAUACACUGGGCUCUCGUCAUUGCAUCUCUGAGACUACGAGCUAUGCUUGCUUCCGAAUAACCUGAUGGUUUGUAAGAUAGAGAUAAUCAUACUCCGAGUCCAAAGUUCAGAAGUUCGAAUAAGCCAGUCCUGCGCUGUGCUUAAUAAGCUUGUCUGUCGUUUUUUUUUUCACAAAAGCAUAAUGUCUAUUUUGUGCACUGCUUAACGCGAAUCAGUUUCAGAAGAUAGCAGAACAGUACGUCCAGGAUUAGGAUCCGAGUUGCUUCCUGCUAACUAAUCCCGGAUGCUUCAUUAAGAACUCAAGUUCGUAUCGAGCUUUGCAUACGAGAUAAGUCUGAUAUAUAGAACGUCGUUCGCGUACGAACUACGCUGCAAAUAACGCUCGGAAUCUCACUUAAAUUUUACUCGCGUCGAAACCAACACAAGAGAGAGACGCCGGAGGAGCGAACUGAAGGAACGUCGCAAUGCAGCUCACGCUGUUCAACUGCUGCCCGCCGCCGUGCCCGUGCGCAGACGGCGGCGGCUGCUACGAGGAGCUGCCGGUGUCGGUGCCGCCGCACGUGCCGCUUGGGCUGAGCAGGGAGUACGACCAAUGGGAGGAGGGCGCGUACGCGGGGGCCGUAGAGCAGCUGCAGCUGCCUGACGGCCAUCGUGGCGUCUCGGCGGAGAUCACGGAGACAGGCAGCGGCUUCGGGGCUUGGCUACUGGCGGCUUUCGCGUCGGUCUACAGGAACAUGGUGGUGCCCGUCCAUCGAGCUUUUUGGACAGAUUCUCGAUGCUUAAAGCACCGGCCAGAAGCUUAAGCGCGCGUGUACGUACUAUCCUCCGUGAGUUCUCUGAUCCGGCAGGCACGAUAACGAUGCGCUUUUCGCGAUCGAGAGUCAGCCGGCGGUCCGGUAGAUGCGUACGCGUGCGGCUUUGCGCUGGGUUGCGUCGACGUUCAGAUACCUGUCGUUGAUGUCGUCUCGAGAAGCCUAGGAGGAUCUAUUCCAGAAAGAUAGAGGAAGAAGAGAUCGAGCAUCUCGAAUUCUCGGCGGUGGCAAAUCGGAAGCGCCUCUUUUUGAACGAUGGCAUGACACGGCAACGACAUUGUCAGUGUAGAAUGUGUUUUUUUUUUGGUAGUUCGUUAAAAAAGGAGAAUGUGUUUUGUCUAUGUUAGCAUUGUCGGUACAGCACCUACAAGCACAAGAGGCAUUGACAGUGUAGAGUGUGGUUUGUCGUAUGUGAAGUGCUUUUUGAUCGUCAGAUGAGCUUGUGACUGUUGUCAUGUUUCAUGAUGAUAUUGUGGAUGCGUUGUAUUUUCGACAGAUUUUUGUUAAUUAACUGGAUGUCCAGACUUUUUUUAAGACAAUGAGUGGAACAAAGCUUCUCGCAAAAAAAAAAAGACAAAGCUUUUGCAUCUGCCUCGAAGAAAAUGUAUUAUUAAAUAUGCUUUUUCCGUAUGCUAUACUUGGUCGAUUUAUCAGUGUGUCUGUUUGUUCCGUGAUGCACUAUAUCGAGUUUAAUUAUGUUGCUACUCGCUAGCUUGUCGUCAGAAUUUUCAUCUGGUUUUUUCUUUAGACAAAGCAUUGUAAUAGGAAAUAUUCUUUUUCUCGAUCAUAAAUUGUAGAAACAUGUUAUCUCUCGACGAGGUUCCACAGAAAAACUUUGUGCAACAAGCUUGUGAACGUUAAAAGGAGGAUGGACUAGACUCGCUCUUUGAAUGCAUGGACUUCUCAUUAACAAUGUGGUUAGAUUGUGCAUCUUGAUAGCGUGAUUGACUUUAACGAGACUCGCUCUUUGAAUGCAUGGACUUCUCGUCAACAAUGUGUUGAAAUUGUGCAUCUUUAGAGCAUGUUUGACUUUAACUGGACUUGCUCCAAGAAAAUAUUAGAAAUGUGCUACUCCCUCAGUCCCAUAUUAAGUGCCGAAAUAUUACAUGUAUCUAAACGUUUUAUAAGUACAGAUAUAUUCAUAUUUUGGCAAAUCCGAGUCACUUAAUAUGCGACGGAGGGAUUACUUGAUUACACUAUUUCCCCCCAUGUCACCUUUUUGUUUUAUUGAGAAUUCAUACUUUUAUCAUGGAGGACAACUUCUAAAACACCAUUCAAAAAACGUGGUUAACAUGAUGAUGAAACAUAUCAUUAUACUGUAUCUGUAUGAAAGACGAUUGUAUUGAUACCUUAUGAGGCGACACAGAAAAAACGGUGCAUCGACCUUACGAGGGUGACACAAAAGAAAUUAUUUUGAGAGAGAAUCUGAUGUUUUUGAAGUUUGCUUUGGGUCAGCCUCCAAACUUUUUCUCCGUAUUUCAAACCGUCCCCACUCGCCCACUUUCUCCCACCUCCCCCAUCCAAUCUUCGCUUCUCUCGGGCCUGACCGAAAGCAGCGGCCAGCCCAGCAGUGCGCGCGGCAAUGGCGGACCCCGUCGACCUCGUGCAGCGCCACUGCCUCCGCCUCUCGACGCGGCUUCCGCCUCCGCCGCAGCCGCGAUGCCUCGUCGGGGCUCGCCUCCGCCUCCCGGGCUCUCCCCUCUCGCUCCGGUGCCGCGCGCUCGACGCCAGCAAGCCGGUGGCGGUGGAGGGGGAUAAGAGCGAGGAGGACGACGAAUCGUACUUCUCGGUGAUAUCGUCGAGGCUUUCCGAUGUGGACUACCACGGGGAGAGCACCAAGGGGGAUUUGAACGUUCGGAGGGAGCACAUCGACGCGCUCGGUGAGCUCCGAGCCUCCGACGCCUCCGUGAUUCUCAGCUAUUACUCCCUGUUCCGAGAGUAUGUCAUGUUACUACAUAAUUGUUGACGAUAUUAUUCCGGUGGGAUCAAACGAGCACUGGAGUAUGCAUUCGACAAAUUAAAGCAUCCGGCAAAAUAGAUUAUUCCUGAUGGAGCAUACGGUAACAGCAUCACAAUUAUGCUAGAAAUUGUUAUAAUUACUCGGAAAUGCUUGGAUUUUAGGUGGGAAUGGCAAGUCAACAUUGCAUGGUCCUAUAGAGGAGAUAGCUUGGAAAGAAGCGAAAGAAGCUGAAACAUUGCUCAGUGACAUGGGAAUUGCAGUAAUAUUCUACCCCAUUAGCAUGAUUUUAUUCUUCUCUGUUCAAUUUUUCUAACAUGUAUUCAGUAGAACUCAGCACCAAUCUGCUUGGCGCCGUCCAGCAUGACCAUCACCUCAGUGGCUCAGUCAUAGUAACACUUACUAUUACAGACGAGAAGUCAAUUAACAGACCGAACAUGAUCUACCUUUACUAACACCAGAAGCUUUUUCAGUUAUUGAAAUAACCGCCAAUUUGCAAAAUUCAACACCGGUAUCCAUAGUGGUAAAACUAUUUCAUGACAGUUAUGUUGUACCAGGAAAAGCUUAGUAAAAGCCAUAUUGUUGGGGUAUAAAUGAAUCCCUAUAUGAGCCGGGCCUCUCAUCCUGCAUGGCAAGAGACUAAGUCAACAAAAGUCCCCUUUCGGUCAACAUGCCAACAAGGCUUGGUCAAGCCACAUAAGCUAGUUAACAAGUCAAGCGAGUCAAACAAGUCCAGGGUCGAGUCCUUGAGUUGGGAAUGAUUAAGACCGACACAUCGGGUCUAUGAGUCUUUAGACCAGGAUCGGCGCGUCCAAUCCUUGAGUCUAUUCAAAACUCGGAUUGACGACGUCGCCUCAGGAGACCUAUUGCUACCUGGAUGGUCGCUCGACUCUUCGCUCCCUCUAUCUCCCAACGUAGAAAUAGGUCACGCUCCACGAGGUGACAAACCUAUUAAAAAAAUAUUGAAGUGUCAACUUGUCAAGUGUAAGGCAACCCUCGCUAAUAUGGCCGGCGUAUCCCCCCUAAUUCUGUUGUUGUUCUUGAGCAAGAGCACAUAUGUUUCUUGAUAACCAGAAAAAUACCUAAUUUACCGGAAAAUAUUCUAUAUUGUUUAGCAAUGCAUGCCAGAGUAAUAUAUUAAGAAACACUAAGGACACACUCUUUGUAGCACCAGCACCAUGAUUUCCAUUUAGGGCAACAUAACUGCAGCGGAUACAAGAAUCAUGAUAAAAAACAUUCUAAGAAAUUAUAAAUAGAUGAUAGCAUAAUAUGUUAAAAGCUAAAGUUUCAUGGUCAACAUUAACUAUAAAGUCUGCAUACUGAACAACAGAUUUAUUUUACAGUUAAUGUCUUACUUUUAAUGUUUCCUUCUUGAACUUCCAUGGUUGGUUCCUCUCGCCAAUCAUAUCUUGAUUGAGCAUCAUGAUGAUGGAGAAACUAGUCAUCCUUCCAAGUACGUAGGCUUAGUUGUCUAUUUCCUAAUGCAGGAUCCUUUAACACUGAGGCACUCUCCUCGUGGAAUUUUCUGCACCAGGACACUAAAUCUUCGAUCUAUCAGUGUCAUUGGCUAUGACAUGGAUUACACAUUGGUUCAUUACAACGUGAUGGUACUUCAAUAUCCAUUUUCUAGAUUUGUCUUCUAAUUGUUCUGAAACUGAGGAUUGCUUAUAUAUGUAUUUUUUUUUUACAAAUUUGAUUGCUGAUAUGACUGGUAAUUCUGAAGGAUAAUGUAUGUAAGAGUGUCAACUAUGAGUAAUUCUUUUUGUAGCCCCCCCAUAGUCUUACAUCUUGGAUAAGACGAAGUGAAUGUUCUAUAUAUCGUUCACUACAGUGAUUACAUGAAACUGCAAAUAUACUGAUGCGUUUUGAUAUUUGUGCAGGCCUGGGAAGGGCGUGCAUAUGAUUUUGGGAUGGCCAACCUGAAGAGCAUGGGUUUCCCAGUUGAUGACCUUGAAUUUGAUCCUGACCUGGUAAUUAUACCAGUGUUUACUUCAUGCCUAAUACCUCAAAACACACACAUCAUCCUUAGUGAUAUAAUCACUCUUCCACAGGUUAUCAGGGGUCUUAUUAUGGAUAAAGUAAAAGGAAACUUGGUUAAAGCUGACCGUUUUGGAUACAUUAAGAGGGUCAUGCAUGGUACCAAAAUGCUGUCCACUCGUGCUGUGAGGUAGACAUACAUAGCCAAGGGUUUUCAGUUUUCAGCAAGUUGUUCUCCUCGGGAAAUGAUAACUCUUAUCCGUGAUUCUGCAUAGUGAAAUAUAUGGAAGAGAAUUGGUGGACCUGCGGAAAGAAAGUACAUGGGAGUUCCUUAAUACUCUUUUCUCUGUUUCUGAAGCUGUCAUGUUCAUGCAGGUUAUUUACCUUUUCCUUUAUCUGAUAAUUGCAAUUUUAAUGUUAAUGUUAUGUUGCUUAUUUUUCCAUUAAGAAGAAGGGCGCAAGAAGCGCAAGUACAGGCAACAAAGCAAAGGCAAAUGCCUAAAAACAGGAAAAGAAAGAAAAGAAAAGAAAAGAAAAGAAAAGAAAAGAAAAGAAAAGAAGAUAAAAAUGCUAAACACUAUACAGUAUACACUAUACAGUUAAAUCAACAACCACAUCAAUUCUCCUUUGUGCAUCAGAUAGUAAAUGUUGCCACUAUUCAUCUCUCAUAGAUAUAUGUAAUUUUCUUUGAAAGAGUUGGUAAGAAUUGGUUGCAGAAGUGUUUAAAAAUCAGGGAAAUACUAUGUUAAGUGCUAGCCUAGUAAAACUUCUUGAUAGUAGAAAACAAUGUGCCCUUGUCUUCCUAGUGAUUAGAGUUUGAACAAACGUUACAUUCUAGGCUCAAAUGUUAAUGUAGUGUACACAUGAAUUUGCAGAAAUGCCCCGUGAGGUUUGUAGCAGAAACUUCUUGAUAGUAGAAAACAACCAAGUUGCCAUUUCAUUUUUUGUUAGUAGUGGGGUUUGUAGCAGUAAUGUCAGGGAGCUCUUGAUGGUAUUUGGCUGCCCUGAGCAUUUGCACUUCCUAAUAAAAUCUUAUCCAGGAAGCUUACUGCAUGUUCGCAAACUGGACAGUAUUUGUUGUUCUAUAAAUUAACAUCAUUAGUUCUGUUCUGGUUCAUUCAGUAAAUAGUCGCAAUGCUUUUUCUAAGAAAACAGGGUUUUCAAUUUGGUGUCAUUCGACCUUCUGAACCUACAUAGCAUAACCUUAUGCCUGUCAUAGUAAACGUUUUCUCAAGUUUAAAGUGAACCAUCGUUAUAUGGACAAUGGUCCUUCUUUUCAGAUGGUUGACAAGUUGGAUCAGGGUUUGGUGCCUCCUGAACUUGGGCCACUGGAUUACACAGGGCUGUACAAUGUAAGAGUACUGCUGAUUCUUUUAGAUGCCCACCUUUGUCAUGUCAUAGCAUUUGGAGUCUUUGCUUUCAGGCUGUUUCCAAAGCACUUUUUCGAGCCCAUGUAGAAGGUCAACUCAAGGUACUCUUUGGUGAUUCUAUAUGAUUUACAACUAAUAUUUGUCUUAAAUUUUCUUUAGCUGGUUGAAAUGUAGAGCGAGAUAAUGGCUGAGCCUGAGCGAUUUGUAGAGCCUGAUCCAGAACUGCCUUUAGCUCUUCUAGAUCAAAAAGAGGUUAACACACCACCACCUUAAGUGCUCAUGAUAUAUUUGAAAUAUUAGGGCCAUUAUACUGCUAUACUAAAUUACCGGUUUCCCUUUUCAACUCAACAGGCUGGAAAAAAGUUGCUUCUUAUUACUAAUUCAGAUUACCUCUAUACGAACAAAAUGAUGAAUCAUGCAUUCAAUCGCUUCCUUCCGAAUGAUAUGGGAUGGAGAGAUCUGUUUGAAAUGGUGAGUACUGAGUAUUUAUGUCCCCUAUAUGCUGGUUAUAAAGGUAACACUUGUCAGCCAUUGCAUGUCAUUGUACUCGAAAAUUCAUUAAGGCCAAUUGAUUAUUUAUUUAUCUAGGUUAUAGUCUCUGCGAGGAAGCCAGAGUUUUUUCAAAUUUCACACCCAUUGUACGAGGUUGUAACAAAUGAUGGAUUAAUGCGUCCCUGUUUUAAAGCAACUUCAGGUAAAAAUCUUGUUGUUCCAGCUAUGGUCUAAUUUCUAUUGAAUCUCUAGGACUUGUUCUGUUUUUUUUCACUGUAUGAGCAUCAGAACAUGUUCAAGAUUCAGGUCAAACAUACAUCAUAAUUUGACUUCAGUCCAGCUUCCUUCAAAACCGAAAAUUGUAUAAGCAGAUUUCGGAUUGACCUAGAGGGGAAAAAGACAUAAAUAUGUUCAUGCUAGGAUAGGAAUAGAAAAAAUGUGUGCACCAAUUAUGAACAGCUCUAGUACAUGACUUUAUAUGAGCUCAUACAGAUUUACCAUUUUAUAACCACUAAUACAGCUCUUGUAUGCUAUUAUAACGUGAGUUUUGCUCCAAUACACCCUUUUGCAACUGAAAGAUGGUGCAGUUAUAAUUCAUUGUUCACCCAGAAAUGUGUUACCUUCCUUCCUAUGCAGUCUUUUGAUGCUGACGUGCAUGCAACUUGAUGUCUUGUUUCUUUCCGUUGUAUGUCUCUGUUUCUGAUGUACUAGGUUGACCAGGAUUUUUUUUU
rnacentral:lncRNA from 1 species